UACGUAGGGGGCGAGCGUUGUCCGGAAUCAUUGGGCGUAAAGAGCGUGUAGGCGGCUUGGCAAGUCUGACGUGAAAGCCCGCGGCUCAACCGCGGAUUGUCGUUGGAAACUGCCUCGCUAGAGUCCGGAAGAGGAGAGCGGAAUUCCUGGUGUAGCGGUGGAAUGCGCAGAUAUCAGGAAGAACACCCGUGGCGAAGGCGGCUCUGUGGGACGGUACUGACGCUGAGACGCGAAAGCGUGGGGAGCGAACAGG
rnacentral:rRNA from 1 species